AGCCCGGUAGUGUAGUGGACAAAGGAAGAACACGUCCAAGCAUAGCGGGCUUUGGACCCGUUGACGGGAGUUCGAAUCUCCCCCGGGCUACCA
rnacentral:tRNA from 1 species